CAGACUCGUUACAACAUGGUUACUUGUCUCACCAUGCAUUGGAUAUCACAAGGAUAUCACAAGGAUAAAAAUGGGACAUCCUUUGGAUAUUGAACAAGCUUCUAAAGCGGAGAAAGAGGGUUCAGAGGGCAGGGUCAGCCAUGAUGCAGCACCCCAGGAGCAGAGAGGGUUAAAGGCCUUGCCCAGGGGCUCAACAGUGGGAGCUUGAACACUGACCUUCUGAUCAACAACUCAAGUCUUUACCACUUGAGCCAUCACCGUGUGAUGCAAUGACGUCAACAUGUUUUGAGAGCAAAUAGAAGCCCUACUCAGUAUUGGUAUAGCGCACCUUAAUUAAGUGCAAUUUAAAUUUAUAUAGUGUUUUUAUUUUAUAGUGUUUCAAAGUCUGGUGACACUGAAAGAUCGAUAUUACUGCACACUUGAAGGGGUUGUGUUCAAUUUCAGUUUUAAGAACUCACUAUAUGUGUGUUCAUAUUAAAUGUUUCCUAAAUGACAUAGACAAGGACCUUUGUGAGAUAAAAGUAUCAAAGGAGUGGUACCACAUAUGAAAGAGCUGUGAAUUACCUUAAUUAAAUACCAUCCAUGGAUUCCUAGUAAGUUUUUAUUAGUAUACAUUGAGGAAAUCAGAUUCAAUUUUAUAGAUGUUAAUUACUAGAAUCAUUUCAUGAAGAAGAUGCUUGGGAUGUGAUACUCUGAUGGACUUUUGCCAAAUGUUAAUGUUACCAAAUGGUUGUAUAUAUAUAUGUGUGUCUGUGUGUGUGUUUUAUUUACCUGAUUAAAAAAAAAAAGUAAAUAAAAAAGUUUAUUGUGUU